GUCCUAGCCGUAAACGAUGAACACUAGGCGUAGUCGGUAUCGACCCCGGCUGUGCCGUAGCCAACGCAUUAAGUGUUCCGCCUGGGGAGUACGGCCGCAAGGCUAAAACUCAAAGGAAUUGACGGGGGCCCGCACAAGCAGCGGAGCGUGUGGUUUAAUUCGUCGGUACGCGAAGAACCUUACCAGGGCUUGACAUGUGGCGGAAAACGGCGGAAACGUCGUCCUCCCGAAAGGGACCGUCAUGCAGGUGUUGCAUGGCUGUCGU
rnacentral:rRNA from 1 species